rnacentral:rRNA from 1 species
AACGAACGCUGGCGGCAGGCUUAAUACAUGCAAGUCGAACGUGAAAGUCCUUCGGGAUGAGUAAAGUGGCGCACGGGUGAGUAACACGUGGGAACGUAACCUAGGGUGGGGGAUAACUACGGGGAACUGUAGCUAAUACCGCAUAAUGUCUUCGGACCAAAGAUUUAUCGCCUUAGGAUCGGCCCGCGUUGGAUUAGCUUGUUGGUGGGGUAAUGGCCUACCAAGGCGACGAUCCAUAGCUGGCCUGAGAGGAUGAUCAGCCACACUGGAACUGAGACACGGUCCAGACUCCUACGGGAGGCAGCAGUAGGGAAUAUUGGGCAAUGGGCGAAAGCCUGACCCAGCCAUGCCGCGUGAAUGAUGAAGGCCUUAGGGUUGUAAAGUUCUUUCGCCGAUGAAGAUAAUGACGGUAGUCGGAUAAGAAGCCCCGGCUAACUUCGUGCCAGCCGCCGCAGUAA